rnacentral:rRNA from 1 species
UACGGGGGGGGCAAGCGUUGUUCGGAAUUACUGGGCGUAAAGGGCGCGUAGGCGGCUCGCUAAGUCGGGUGUGAAAACUCUGGGCUCAACCCAGAGCCUGCAUUCGAAACUGACGGGCUAGAGUUCUGGAGGGGAAAGCGGAAUUCCUGGUGUAGCAGUGAAAUGCGUAGAUAUCGGGAGGAACACCGGUGGCGAAGGCGGCGACCUGGGUAGAUACUGACGCUGAGGUGCGAAAGCGUGGGGAGCAAACAGG